rnacentral:sRNA from 1 species
ACUAAGUGAAUGUCAGAUUAAAUAGAGAUUUUAAUUUUGAUUUACAUGUAGCAAUAGCUUAAAUUACAGCAAAACUGAUGAGUAAUCCAAUUUUAAUGUACAAAACUGGUAGGUUGAUUCAAAAACAACUUUGCAUUACUUUUUUGAACAUUUGUUCAAUGAGAAUAAAUAUACAUGUCUGUGUAAUGUAGAUCAUGAAAGUUGAAUUUGAUUAUCACAGGAAACAAAUCAAAUCUAAAAAUGAAGAAUUGAUGCUUUUGUUAUGAGUAUUGAUGAGUGUAGAAUACAAUAUAUUUCUUUCUUACGUUCUGUGAACAGAGAGAUGCUGAGCAGGCUCUAAAUGUCUUUAUUUUCCAAUGAAUGCAUGUAUCUAUAAAGGUUUUAUUUCAUCAUGGCUAGAACUCAUUCACUUGGUUUUUUAACUUUACGUGGAAUUGCUAGAUAGAAUUUGAUUUGCUCAGAACAUGUUGUUUUAAAAACCAGAUUAUAUUGGAUCUCACAAAUACAAAUUACAUUUUGUGCAAUGUAGACGAUAGUGCUCAAGUAGAACUGGACAAACCUGCCCAGAAAUCAAUGUCUUGAUAUUAAGUGUACAACAGUUGAAUCCAGAAUGCAGAGGGUAAAAAUCAAGCUGUUAGAUUUUUUUUUACCAAUUUUCACUUUUGAGAAUAUGAACCUACAAGUUACUUCCCUUUUUGUCUAGACCAAUUAUGUAAUGCAGACCAUGCUUCUUUUGCACACAACAUCCUUCAUCUACAUAGAUGUAAUGUCAUGCUAUUAAUUGUAUCAUGCUUUAAUGAUUAUUUUUGCAUAAUUGUUUCAUUUUGUUCACUCCACAUCUGUGUCUUGUGUUUCUCUGUGUUGGUGAUUUUGAUGCUUGUUUUUUAUGUUGUGCUAGUCACAAUAAAACUUUCAUCAAAAAUUCAUGUUGUAUUUUUAUAAGGGACCAGAUACUAGUAUAAUAACACAGAUACUAUUUAUGUUUGCAAAUAUUCUGUUAUUGAUUAGUUAAAAAUUUUGAUAUUUUGAAGCACUGAAAUUAAUUUUUGAUGUUUGACAUUCUGAUAGUGAACGGUUGCUUUUUUUUUUAAGCAACAUACAAAAGUUGGCUAAAUAGUAUGACUCUUUAGCUGUAAUACUUUGGAAUUGAGUGAAAUUUGAUAUAUUUUAUUGGAACGACUUUUUUCUUUGAAGCUGGCCCGGUAUUUCUGUGUACAGCAUUAGGUUAUUUAGAUACAAGUACCUCUUCAAAAAUAAUCCAGGUUCUUCCGAGUAGAUGAAGUUGGUUUGCUAUUUAUUGAUGUGUUCUGUGAUUAUAGUAUAAUUCCUGUCUAACUAUUUUGCCCUGCUCAGCUGAAGUGCUUAAAUUCUUAUACAUGUCAGAUGAUUAUGAAAUUUUGUGCAUGAACAAUAUAGUACAAUGUAAUGAAUUUAAGUAAAUAUACUUUUAUUAUAUGAUUUAGAACUUGACACAUAGAAUGUGUGUGUUGGGUUCUGAGAUGGCCCCUAUAACAAUUAAUUUUGAAUUGUUUAACCACGGUUCAUCUUGCAUUUUGUACAUGUAGAUGAUUUAGAAAGCACACCAUGAUGUUCAAUUGUACACUGUGAAUAUGUGUUACCUUCGUCUUAAAUGUACAUGUAUGACCAAUUUUAAAUAUCUGGCUUACAAUAAACCUGUAAAACUGU